AGAGUUUGAUCAUGGCUCAGGAUGAACGCUGGCGGCGUGCUUAACACAUGCAAGUCGAACGGAGUUUUUAACGGAAGUUUCGGAUGGAAGUUUAAGAACUUAGUGGCGGACGGGUGAGUAACGCGUGGGUAACCUGCCUCAUACAGGGGGAUAACAGUUAGAAAUGACUGCUAACACCGCAUAAUAUAGUGAAACCGCAUGAUUUUGCUAUCAAAUAUUUAUAGGUAUGAGAUGGGCCCGCGUCUGAUUAGCUAGUUGGUGGGGUAAAAGCCUACCAAGGCGACGAUCAGUAGCCGGCUUGAGAGAGUGACCGGCCACAUUGGGACUGAGACACGGCCCAAACUCCUACGGGAGGCAGCAGUGGGGAAUAUUGGACAAUGGGGGAAACCCUGAUCCAGCGAACCGCCGCGUGAGUGAAGAAGUAUUUCGGUAUGUAAAGCUCUAUCAGCAGGGAAGAUGAUGACAGUACCUGACUAAGAAGCCCCGGCUAACUACGUGCCAGCCGCCGC
rnacentral:rRNA from 1 species